UUUAAUGUAGAGUUAUUAACAGAAAUAGACACAUUUUGUAUUUUUAUUACACCAUAGAACACAAUGUGCGACCGAAGUAGUUUAUUGUGGUUGAAGAUCCAUUUAACUUCAGAAAAGCUAAACUAAAGAUGGACAUUUAGGUAAAUUGACAUUUUUUUAGUUAGGCUGGUUAGAAAAUUUAAAAUUCAAAAAUGUUGGGUAAUGCACGGUGGACAUGAAAUAAAGUUGAAAUACGUUUAUAUUUUAUCUUUGGGCCCGUAAAAAAGUAGAUCUGAUCUGGUAAAAUUAUUUUCACAAAGAGGGAAAUAGAGGGACGGUUCUGACGGAGAAGAUGACGACUAAGAACGUUUAUACGGUGGAGACUGACGGAGAAGACGAUGUCGUCGAGAAAUAAAUGGACGUCAAAGGGGAAAGACAAAGAUUAGUGAAGAGAUGGAGACGAUGAGCUUCAGUUGUGGGCAUUUGAAGCUAUAUCAACUUGGCUUAGUCGUUUAGGGGACGAUGACAAGUUGAAGCAUCUAAGUUAUGUCAAUGAGAAGCUCCCACAAGACACAUUGUUGGUUUUGGCGGAGGUGCAAGAGGCUGAGCAUGAUCCUCAGGUAACUAUUUGUACACAUGUACGAACGUUUAAGGUUGUACACGUUACGUGUGAUGUACAUGUGUACAACAACAUAUGUGUAUAUGUGUACUUUGCAUACUAUGCUUAUAUGGUUUGCGGUUGAGGUGUGUAUUGAUUUUGCUUUGGUUUAUCGUGUUUUUAUGUUUGCUGCUGAUUGUGCAACCUACGGUGGAGUGUGGGGAGGACAAGGAGGAUGGCUGGGGAGAAUUUGACGAUGAAUUUUUUGAAUAUAAAGUUGCCGACAUGGUUAAGCUUCUGAAGGUUGGGCACAAAUUCAGAAAACAUAAGUGGAGUGGCGGUGAUGCAUUUGAACCUAUUUACAUGUGUACAAGCAAGUGUGUGCAUGUGUAUAAGAAAAUGUGUACAUGUGUACAACACUGAGUGUUUACAUGUACACAAACAAGUAUAUGUACAUUUAGGGUGUGUACAUAAGUGGUUUAUUUUGACAUGUUUGUUGGUGUUGAAGGAUGAAUGUGUUUAGCAUGAUAGCAUGAUACUAUAAUAUAUUUAGAUGUUUUGGGCAUAUAAUGUAAAGUAUCUUGAUGACUAUUGAUUCUAAGUAAAACUUUUCGCAUUGAUAUGU